rnacentral:tRNA from 1 species
GUUUAAAUAGCUUAAGUUCAAAGUGUAUUAUUGAAGAUAAUGAGUUGAUUGAAUAAUCUUUAAACA